rnacentral:rRNA from 1 species
UUGUAGGUGAACCUGCGGAAGGAUCAUUG